AACGAACGCUGGCGGCAGGCUUAACACAUGCAAGUCGAACGGGCACCUUCGGGUGUCAGUGGCAGACGGGUGAGUAACGCGUGGGAACGUACCCUUCGGUUCGGAAUAACCCAGGGAAACUUGGGCUAACACCGGAUACGUCCGCAAGGAGAAAGAUUUAUCGCCGAAGGAUCGGCCCGCGUCGGAUUAGCUAGUUGGUGGGGUAAUGGCCCACCAAGGCGACGAUCCGUAGCUGGUCUGAGAGGAUGANCAGCCACACUGGGACUGAGACACGGCCCAGACUCCUACGGGAGGCAGCAGUGGGGAAUAUUGGACAAUGGGCGAAAGCCUGAUCCAGCCAUGCCGCGUGAGUGAAGAAGGCCUUAGGGUUGUAAAGCUCUUUCAGCGGGGAAGAUAAUGACGGUACCCGCAGAAGAAGUCCCGGCUAACUUCGUGCCA
rnacentral:rRNA from 1 species